AUGAAAACAAAAGAAAGUAGAAGAAAUCAAAACGCAGAAAACGAAUACAGAACGAGAGGAAAGAAGCUUACCAGAACUGGAAGAUGCGAAGUAGAGAAGGAGCGGAAGAGAAUACGAUUGCGAACGAGAACAGACGGAAGAGAAGGACUGACGGCGGACGACGGCGUACGGCGGACGACGGAUGGUUUGAUUACGAUGAGACGGCGGACGAGAAGCGAACGGAGAGUGUGUUAUUGUUGGAUUGGACCGGUUGGGACUUGGCCAUGUUACUGGUUUUUCCUU